rnacentral:misc_RNA from 1 species
AAAUAACAUUCGUGAAUUUUUUCGCGGAUUUGAGUUUUCCAGUAUUUUUAUUAUAAAAAAAUGUUGGUAACUUUAAAAUUAUUUAUUACUUGGUACAAGUUGAAAACGUACUAUAUGUGUGGUUCGCUGACAAUUUGUCCAUCUUCAUAUAUUAUGCGCGCACUUGGUUUUUACGCUCUGUGCGAGUAUAUAUUUUUU